UCCCUGUUGGUCCAGUGGUUAAGACUUUGCACUUCCAAUGCAAGGGGCAUGGGUUUGAUCCCUGGUCAGAGAA
rfam:Ovis aries breed Texel chromosome 16, whole genome shotgun sequence.